UACAGAGGGUGCAAGCGUUAAUCGGAAUUACUGGGCGUAAAGCGUGCGUAGACGGUUACAUAAGUCGGGUGUGAAAGCCCCGGGCUCAACCUGGGAAUUGCAUUCGAGACUGCGUAGCUAGGGUGCGGAAGAGGGAAGCGGAAUUUCCGGUGUAGCGGUGAAAUGCGUAGAUAUCUGGAGGAACACCGGUGGCGAAGGCGGCAUCCUGGACCGGCAUUGACGCUGAAAAGCGAAAGCCAGGGGAGCAAACGGG
rnacentral:rRNA from 1 species